UACGUAGGGUGCAAGCGUUGUCCGGAAUUAUUGGGCGUAAAGAGCUCGUAGGCGGUCUGUCGCGUCGGCUGUGAAAACCCGGGGCUCAACCCCGGGCCUGCAGUCGAUACGGGCAGACUAGAGUGCGGUAGGGGAGACUGGAAUUCCUGGUGUAGCGGUGAAAUGCGCAGAUAUCAGGAGGAACACCGGUGGCGAAGGCGGGACUCUGGGCCGAUACUGACGCUGAGGAGCGAAAGCGUGGGGAGCGAACAGG
rnacentral:rRNA from 1 species